rnacentral:rRNA from 1 species
GACGAACGCUGGCGGCGUGCUUAACACAUGCAAGUCGAACGGAAAGGCCCUGCUUUUGUGGGGUGCUCGAGUGGCGAACGGGUGAGUAACACGUGAGUAACCUGCCCUUGACUUUGGGAUAACUUCAGGAAACUGGGGCUAAUACCGGAUAGGAGCUCCUGCUGCAUGGUGGGGGUUGGAAAGUUUCGGCGGUUGGGGAUGGACUCGCGGCUUAUCAGCUUGUUGGUGGGGUAGUGGCUUACCAAGGCUUUGACGGGUAGCCGGCCUGAGAGGGUGACCGGCCACAUUGGGACUGAGAUACGGCCCAGACUCCUACGGGAGGCAGUAGUGGGGAAUAUUGCACAAUGGGCGGAAGCCUGAUGCAGCAACGCCGCGUGCGGGAUGACGGCCUUCGGGUUGUAAAACGCUUUCGCCUGUGACGAAGCGUGAGUGACGGUAAUGGGUAAAGAAGCACCGGCUAACUACGU